AAUAAAAAUCAUGUUUAGAAGAGUCUUUCUACAUUUCAUCCCUUCUUUAUGUGUAUUAUGAUUCCUGUCUUAUGGUUCUUCAAAAAGUUUCCAUUUUUAUAAUGCUGACAGUUGUAACCUUUUUUGCUUUUUCCAGAGGAAAGCCCAAGGACAAGGGACAUGUGAGUUUGCAGGAACAACUACUGCUAUAACAUCUGACCCUACAUUGGUGGGUUUGUCUACCCUUCAAGCGCCAGGUGAACAUGGAGUAUGAUCUUGAUCCAACCAUUGCGAAAGAGG